rnacentral:rRNA from 1 species
UACGUAGGGGGCAAGCGUUGUUCGGAAUUACUGGGCGUAAAGGGCGCGUAGGCGGCCACCGCAAGUCGACUGUGAAAUCUCCGGGCUUAACCCGGAACGGUCAGCCGAUACUGCGGGGCUAGAGUGCAGAAGGGGCAACUGGAAUUCUCGGUGUAGCGGUGAAAUGCGUAGAUAUCGUUUGGAACGCCAAAGGUGAAAACAGACAGCUGGGAGUGUGCUGACGCUGAGAACACGAAAGCCAGGGGAGCGAACAGG